CCUACGGGCGGCAGCAGUGAGGAAUAUUGGUCAAUGGACGAGAGUCUGAACCAGCCAAGUAGCGUGAAGGAUGACUGCCCUAUGGGUUGUAAACUUCUUUUAUAUGGGAAUAAAAUGUUCCACGUGUGGGAUUUUGUAUGUAACAUAUGAAUAAGGAUCGGCUAACUCCGUGCCAGCAGCCGCGGUAAUACGGAGGAUCCGAGCGUUAUCCGGAUUUAUUGGGUUUAAAGGGAGAGUAGGUGGAUUGUUAAGUCAGUUGUGAAAGUUUGCGGCUCAACCGUAAAAUUGCAGUUGAAACUGGCAGUCUUGAGUACAGUAGAGGUGGGCGGAAUUCGUGGUGUAGCGGUGAAAUGCUUAGAUAUCACGAAGAACUCCGAUUGCGAAGGCAGUUCACUGGACUGCAACUGACACUGAGGCUCGAAAGUGUGGGUAUCAAACAGGAUUAGAUACCCCAGUAGUC
rnacentral:rRNA from 1 species